AGCGGCGGACGGGUGAGUAAUACGUAGGAACGUACCCCAAAGUGAGGAAUAACUCCGGGAAACCGGGGCUAAUACCGCAUAUGCUCUACGGAGUAAAGCCUUCGGGCGCUUUGGGAACGGCCUGCGUCCGAUUAGCUAGUUGGUAGGGUAAAGGCCUACCAAGGCGACGAUCGGUAGCUGUUCUGAGAGGAUGAUCAGCCACACUGGAACUGAGACACGGUCCAGACUCCUACGGGAGGCAGCAGUAGGGAAUUUUCCACAAUGGGCGAAAGCCUGAUGGAGCAACGCCGCGUGCAGGAUGAAGGCCUUUGGGUUGUAAACUGCUUUUAUCUGUGACGAUUAUGACAGUAGCAGAUGAAUAAGGAUCGGCUAACUCCGUGCCAGCAGCCGCGGUCAUACGGAGGAUCCAAGCGUUAUCCGGAAUUACUGGGCGUAAAGAGUUGCGUAGGUGGCAUGGCAAGUAGAUAGUGAAAGCGUUCCGCUCAACGGAAUACACAUUAUCUAAACUGCUAAGCUAGAGAAUGGUAGAGGUUACUGGAAUUCCCGGUGUAGGAGUGAAAUCCGUAGAUAUCGGGAGGAACACCAAUGGCGUAGGCAG
rnacentral:rRNA from 1 species